GUUAGGAAUAUUGGACAAUGGGCGAAAGCCUGAUCCAGCCAUGCCGCGUGAACGAUGAAGGCCUUCGGGUUGUAAAGUUCUUUAGCCGAUGAUUAUAAUGACUGUAGUCGGAAAAUAAGCCCCGGCUAACUUCGUGCCAGCAGCCGCGGUAAUACGAAGGGGGCGAGCGUUAUUCGGAAUCACUGGGCGUAAAGCGUGCGUAGGCGGUUUUGUAAGUUAGGAGUGAAAGCCCAGGGCUCAACCUUGGAAUUGCUCUUAAAACUGCAAGGCUCGAAUCUCGGAGAGGAUAGCGGAAUUUCCAGUGUAGCAGUGAAAUGCGUAGAUAUUGGAAGGAACACCAGUGGCGUAAGCGGCUAUCUGGACCGAUAUUGACGCUGAGGCACGAAAGCGUGGGGAUCAAACAGGAUUAGAUACCCGUGUAGUCC
rnacentral:rRNA from 1 species